rnacentral:rRNA from 1 species
UACGUAGGGGGCAAGCGUUGUCCGGAAUCAUUGGGCGUAAAGAGCGUGUAGGCGGCCCGAUAAGUCCGCCGUGAAAGUCCAGGGCUCAACCCUGGAAUGCCGGUGGAUACUGUCGAGCUCGAGUCCGGAAGAGGCGAGUGGAAUUCCUGGUGUAGCGGUGAAAUGCGCAGAUAUCAGGAGGAACACCAAUGGCGAAGGCAGCUCGCUGGGACGUGACUGACGCUGAGACGCGAAAGCGUGGGGAGCAAACAGG